CUCUGAAGGAAGUAAAGUGCAAGCAUGUGUGUCUGAGACUGGAACACGUGGGGAAUGAACUAAAACAAUGCUUUCCUAACAGGAAUAUUCCAGAAGGUUAAAAUAUAUACAUCAGGUUCUGUCAACACACUGAGUGAGUUUCAGUUCUUUUGUACAGAACUUUGCAAAGUUGAGACACAGUUCAGCAUGCAGGGUAAAAUGCAAAUUGCUUCUUCCCCAGAGGGACAAGGCCAGAUCAAAUGUGUCAGCCCACUGACAAUCUCAUUACAGGAAACUUAAUAAAACCAUCAACCUCCUGAUUGAAGAAGACCCGUGAAUGAAGAGGAACGGGAAUGUGAAUGCAGAAGACAGAGUAUGACAGCUAGCCAUGACCAUAAUAAACGCUCAGCAUAGAAUACAUGGCUCCUCCAGCAAAUAAGAGGGUAAUGGUACUCUAUAACGAAGGUAGACGAACAGUUAUAUAGAUUAGAUUAGAAAGAUUUUGGGAAAAUAAAUGGGAGGGAGUUGAUUUAUGGCAGAGAUAUCAGGUUCCAUCCCUCGCUUGUUGCCCUACCUUGAUGACAAGGCACGCUGAGAAAGAGAAGCUGACCCUAGUAUCUGAAGAAAACCACUCCAGCCUGAAUGGAGAGUGAACACAAAUGAGCUGGGCAGUGAUCGAAGGGACACACAGGAGGGGAUGCCACCGGGGUGAGGUCCUUGCAAACCAUUCAAAUCGUGACUACCCCAACCCCUCCUCUAGAUCGAUUGAAGAGACCGAGAGACUGGACGUCAGAUCAACCUGGCAAUCUGUCAUGAACACGAGAAAAUCUGCAGGUGCUGGAAAUCCAAGUAACUCGCCCACAAAAUUCAGGCAGAACUCAGCUGGUCAGGCAGCAUCUGGGAGAAUAGCAUCUGCAAUGGUUUCUCCUGCCUGCUUAUUUGUCUUGUCCUUCACAGUUGCUCACAAGUCCUGCCUCCUCCACUAGAGCCUACAACGGUAGAGGGUACUGCACAACUGACAAGUGCACAGCCACAUUAUUGGUGCACGGACAUGUGAUCUGUAGUUGUAACAGGCACCUGGUCUUCAUUCGAGCUCCACCUACACUCAACUCAAUCCAAUUGAAAACACAUUAAAAUUUGCUUCAAGGCUCAGUCCCUUAUCAAUCACUAAUGCACUUUGCACAACUGAUCACAUAUUUUUAUAUUUAGAAAAGGCAUUUAUUUUAAUUUUUAUUUAGGAGACAGUAUGGUAACAGGCCCUUUCGGCCCAACGAGCCUGCGGUGCCCACUUAUACCCAUGUGAUCAAUUAACUGACUCACCUGUACGCCUUUGGAACAUGGGAGGAAACCGGAACACCCAGAAAAAUAUCCACACGGCCACGGGGAGAAACUCCUUACAGGAAGUGAACCUGGGCCACUGGCACCGCAACAGUGUCACCCUAACCACUACAACACAGUGCCACUCUCUCAGUGUGAUCCGGAAAAUACAGUCAAGCAGGCGGCUGUACUCAGCCAACUGCUACCUACUGAGAUUUCUCAGGGUUCUUCAGGAACGUUUCUGGCAAUUGCCUUCACAAGGAACACAGACUGGGUUGAGCACAUCAACAAUACGUGAGUGCAGUCACCCAGAAUGCGAUACGGCUGCGUAUGGGCAUGAUAAUCUUCCAAUGUGCCAUACAAGUCGGGGCUCUUCUCCAAGGACCGUCACCUUGUCGUAGUGUAGAGCCUUGUGAGUUCCUGAGAUCCGGAAAGUGCUGCCGACUGAAGCUCAUCUCCUGGUAGGGUCACCGUGGUCACCCAUCAUCCUGGUAGGCUCAAGGGUGAGGUUCCAGAUAGAGCGAUCCAACCAAGUCCUCAGCGGUGGAGCUGGCGGAAGCUGAUGACACAUCACAACGGCAGUGAGGGGUGGAGGAAGGCCGCAGCAGUGAAGGGUCCCCUGUCAUCUUGCACUCCAUGCCAAAGAACGGCACACGAAUGAAAGCUUUAACCUGUGAGUUUUCUCUUUAGUUAUUUAUCCACAAGUAUCUUCACAUAGAAUCCUUGUAAUAGCUUCAGAAUUACUGUCACCAAGAUUUCCACAUUUCCAAAUGUUUGAAAAAAAAGUUUAAUGGUAGGAAGUGCAAUUCUAAGCAAGUUUACUUCAAAACAAUGGCUCCCAUUGGUCAAAAUUGUUGAGAAUCAUUCCUAAUAAUUUUUGACCUUUCAUCUGAAAACAUACAUAGGUUAAGGAGGGAGGGAGGAAAGGGGCUUGUUUUGCUGUUUUAUUCUGUUGCUUGUUGUGUUCUGUCAAGCACUGUUGGCAUUCUAUAUUGGCACCAGAAUGUGUGGUGACGCUAGCAGGCUAGCCCUAGACCCUGGGUGUGUUAGUUGUGAAUGCAAAAGGCACAUUUCACUAUAUGUUUCGAUAUACAGUGGGUGUUCACUUCAAGGACCUCUGCAAGUGUGACAUGAAAGCUUUAAAAAUCAAUGCAGAGUGCUGGCAGGACACAGCAGAUGACCGUGACAAAUGGCGAGGUACUCUUCAGCAACACCUAGAGCAAGGUGAAAGAGUGAUCCUGAGUCAGUUUGAGGAGUGGAGAGCUAAACGGAGAGCACAGCAGACAACAAUUCCACAAUGCCCUACGCAUGCAGCAACUGUGGCAGAGCCUACCGUUCCAGGAUCGGCCACAAUAGCCACAGUCGACACUGCUCAACAAACCAGUGACUACCAGAGGCGCAGUACACCAUGGUCGACCACACUCUCUCACACACACACACUCACACACACACACACACACACACACACACACACACACACACACACACACACACACACACUCACACACACACACACACUCUCACACACACACACUCUCACACACACACACACACACACACACUCUCUCACACACUCACUCACACACACACACACUCUCACACACACUCACACACACACACACUCUCACACACACACACACACACACACACUCACUCACUCACUCACACACACACCAUAUGAUAAAUAUAUUUGAAAUUUGAAUCUUGAUACCACCUUUUACUUUCCAGAUAACUUUAAAGCUUUCCUCAAACUGCAAACGGUAGGGUAGCAAUUGCCAUAACACUGUUCCAGUGCCAGAAACCCAGCUUCAGUUCUUGCCACUACCUAGAAGCAGUUACUAUGUUUUUCCCCAUGGCAGUUUCCUCCAGGUGCUCUGGUUUCCUCCCACAUUCCAAAGAUGUACGGGUUAGUAGGUUACUUGGUCACAUGGGCGUAACUGGGUGGUGCGGGUUCAUUGGGCUGGAAAGGCCUGUAACUGUGCUGCAUCUCUAAAGGGAAUAAUCUGUAAUCUUUCCAUCUUCCACUUUUCACCUUCAUUCCUUCUUUCCCUCCCCGUUUCUGCACCAUAAAACCUGUGCAUCUCCAUCUCUUCUGAGAAAAGGUCAACAUGAAAAAUCCAUUCCAUUCCCCUCUCCAUGGAUACAGCCACACCUGCCUAUUGUUUCCAGCAUUUUCUGUUUUCAUUUCUGCAUCUAGCCAUUAAAUCCUGCAGGGUGGAAUUUUUCAAUGAAUGGAAAUUAGACUCAAGAACACCAGAAUGUGCAAAAAAGGCAGCCACUGUCAAAGCAAUCCUUCAAAACACAGGAUGGCCAACUGCGAGCUAAGGCUGAGCUCUGUGGGGAGGCUCACCAUCAACUGAGCUGUCGCAGUGUUGAGGAAGAGCAGGAGAUGAGAUGCUCAAAUAUCCUAAUGUGGCUGAGCUCUUGAUCAUUAACUCUCAGAGUAUUUGGAACACUUGCUGCUGCUGACCAAAUGAAUGCAAUGCAUGUGCACCCCCCCCCCAAUAAACCCCAAUCCACAACAGCCACUCCAUGCCCUCAUUCUUGCCAUCUCCACUUCCUACUUAGUCCAUAAACAGCAAGGGAAGUCCUAAAUCCACGAGAUAGUAAAGUGCAAAGAGCUUUCAUUCAGUAACACUGAAUACAAUUCAUGACAGAAUGAAUAUCCUGGACAUUAGGUCUUGAAAUACACAAAAUAUAAAUGGAAAUGCUCGGAAACAAUAUGUUGGAAACAUAAACACGGGAGAUUCCGCAGAUGCUGGAAAUCCAAAGUAACACACACAAAAUACUGGAGGAACUCAGCCAGACAGGCAACAUCUGUGGAAAUGAAUAAACAGUUGACGUUUCAGGUCAAGACCCUUCUUCAGGUGGAUGGAACAAAGGUGCUCGAUGAAGUGGUCCCCCAGUUGUUGGAAAUGCCCAGCAGGACAAACAGCACGUGAGGAAAGAGAAGUAAUUAACAUUGCAGGAGAACCACCAUCUGAUUGAAAAGUUUAUUAUUCUGUUUCUACGUGCGACUGGUGGAGGAGACUCAAGAAUUUGAGUUUCCUGAAACUCUGUAACUGAUUGUACAUCCUGCAGAGGGCAGUAAUACACCUAGGUGCAUCUGAACUGCCAGAAAUGGAGGAGGAGGAACAGGAAGAAGAAGAGGUUCAGUUGUUCUUCAGACCAGACAUCAGAAAGGGGAAGAAAUAUGAUCUAAGUGACUUUGACCGUGGAAUGAUGCUGGUGGCUGGCAGAGUGUUUCCAGUAUCUCAGAAGCUGCUGAUCUCCUGGGAUCUUCACACUCAACAGACUUUAGAGUUUACAGAGAGUUUGAUAAACAAAAUACAUCCAGUGAGGGUGAAAACGCCUUGUUAAUGAGAGAGGUCAGAGGAGAAUGUCCAGACUGUCUCAAGCUGACAGGAAGCCGACAGUAACUCAAAUAAAUGUGCAUUACAACAAAGGUGUGCAGAAGAGCACCUCCGAAUGCACAACACGUCAAACCUUUAUGUGGAUGGGCUACAACAGCAGAAGACCACAAACCUACAUUCAGUAGCCGCUUCAUUAGAUUGAAGAACAAAUUUCUUUGCUAGAGGCUUAAAACCAUGAUGACACCAGAACUUGUGUUGAAGAUACAGAGAAGAGGCUUGUGGCUAUUCAGCUCACGUUUCUAUGGUUUAGCUGACUUAACCAUGACCUAGCACAAUAUCUGCAUUCUGCAGCAGUUUGUAUUUUCUCCUUAAAAACAUUCUUGUUGCAUUGCUGUUCUUUUGCAGUUAGAAUAAUAUGGCUUUGUGUCUGCCCCAUGUACUGCCACCAACACCACCCCCCCAUCAAGUCUCCCACCAAUAUGCUACUCAAUCAAUCUUAUUUUUAAGAUUAGUUCUGCCAAGCUAAUCAGGCUGAUCAACAUCUCUACCCAUUAACCCACCUCACCAACACUACUAUAUCAAUUCCUCUCAGUCACCUUGUGUACACACACUCCUCUACCUACAUACAAUCAGUCUAUGUAUUUAGGCUAAACUUAGGUAUUUCUAUUAAUUGUGUUAUUUAUGCCUAUUGUGUAUUUUUUAAGCUAUAUCAGAUCUGAAAUAACAAUAAUUUUGAUCUCCUUUGUGCUUGUAUACUGAAGAAUGACAAUAAACAAUCUUGAAGCUUGAAUCUUAAAGAAUGGUUAAAGCUAUUGCCUACAAUGCAUAUAGGACCCUCUGUCAUCUCUAAAUAAUUUUUUGAGGAGGGUGUCUCCAAAGACAACUGCACUGCUCCAAACAGAGCUAAAUGAGGUCAUUCUUACCCCCAGCCAUUAGGCUCUGUAAUGAGUCACCCUAGAGCCGGGGAAGUGAUGACCUCCUCCUGUUAAAACUGGUUGAGGUAACUUAUAUCUUAUUCUUUCUUACUUCUCUUCUAAUAUUUGCAUUUUAUAUACCUGUGCACUUGUAGCGCUACUGUGACACUAUAACUUAUUUUAGGAUCAAUAAAGUAUCUACUUAUCUAUUUGUCUUCCCUACCAGGUGCAGUUAUUGGGAAAUCAGGAGGACAACUGGAGACCGGAAUGAAAAACCUUUUCCAGUGAGGCACAGGGGACCAAAUAUGGGCCCCAUGAGAUAAAUCUCAGCUUCUGCUAUGUAAGCUCCUUCAUAUCCCCUGAGCCUCCUUUUGUAACCAAGCAGCUACAAGACCACCUGCCAUGCUGGGUCUAUGACCAAAUAUAAAUAAAACAAAAUUGAUAAACUGCACCAGCAACAGACCCAUAGUGAUGAGAGAUACAACCCUAGAAGAAGUGACUUCCUUUGUCUAUCUUGGAAGCAUUGUCAGUAUAUGUGGUGGAACAGAUGAUGAUGUCACAGCCAUGAUGAAGAAGUCCAGAGUAGUUUUCAACAUCUUGAAGAUAGAGUGGGCUUCCAGAGUCACAUCAAGGAAAACCAAAAACAGAAUCUUCAACUCAAAUGUUAAAACAGUGUUCCUAUAUGGCUCUGACAGCUGGAAGACAACCACGAGAACACUACGAAAACAGGCGGUGCAUGAGAAGGAAUCCAGACAUCAGAUAGACUGACAAGUUAACCAACCAGACUGUGGGACAACACUAACCAGGGAUCCAUAGAGAUGCAAAUAUGAAAAUGGAAAUAGAAGUGGAUUGGCCGCAGGUUGAGGAAGCCAAACAACUUCACCAGGUGGCAUUAAAAUGGAUUCCCCAAGGAAAGAGGACAAAGGGUCAUCCAAAAGACACAUAGAGGUGAGACAUCAAGGUCAAAAUUAAACGAUGGAGAUACUCCUAUUCCAGCCUCCAGAAAUUGACUCAGAACAGAGGAGGAUAGAAACGGGAGGUCAUCGAUGGCCUCUACUCCACUGGGAGCCAAGGGCCCAAGAAGAACACAAGAGUAUUGUGAACAGUUUUGGGCCCCUCAUCUUAGAAAACACAUGCUGGCAUUGGAGAGGGUCCAGAGGAGGAUCACGAGGAUGAUUCAGGAAUGAAAGGGUUUUUUUUAUUUUAUCUAAAAAGUCUUGUCUAGAAUCAAUCAACAAAUUAUAGAUACCAGUAAUAGAACCAUUAACAAAAGGUUUUAAAUUUAAAAGAUUGUCCAGUAAAUUUUUAUCAGGACCUAUAGGAAAAGUAGCUAAUUGGAAACAUAGAAAAUCUCUAAUUUGAAGGUAUCUGUAAAAAUGUGUUUUUGGGAGUGCAGAUUUAUUUGACAAUUGGUCAAAUGAAGCAAGAGAUCCUGAGAUAAACAGGCCCCAAAAACACUUAAUACCUAGUUCAUCCCAAUCUUUAAAGACUUUAUCAGUCAAGGAAAGGAAAAGAAAAUUAAGGAGAAUGGGAGAUGAUAAUGAAAAAUUCACUAAACCAAAAAAUUUUCUAAAUUGAGACCAGAUCCUUAAAGUUUGCUUAACAAUUAUGUUAUCUGUUGUUUUAUUUGCUGAAAAGGAAGAGUAUGAUCCAAGAAGAGAGACAAUAGAGGAAUUUUUUUACAGAAUUAACUUCUAAGGAGACCCAUGAUGGGCAAUCUUUACGAUAAAUAUAAUAGGACCAGAAAGUAAUAUUCCUUAUUAGUAAAACCUAAAAUUGGGUAGGGCUAGUCCACCCAUCUCUUUAUUUCUUUGUAAGUAAACUUUACUUAAACAAGCUUGUUUAUUAUUUCAAAUAUGAGGUUAAAAUUGAAUCUAAAGAAUCAAAGUAUGUCUUAGGAAUAAAAAUAGGAAAGGCCUGAAAAAGAUAUAAAAAUUUAGACCUAAAUUUUAUAAAAAUCUGACCUAAAUUGUCAGAUUUCUGAUGAUAGAUGGAAUAAAAUUCUUAAACAGGUUAAUAAAUCAUCUUUUUGUGCUCAUCAUUCUCUUCUACAAUUUAAAGUGGUUCAUAGAGCUUACAGUUCUAAACAGAAGCUGUCCAGUUUUUACCCGAAUGUUUCUCCACUUUGUAAUAAAUGCAACUCUGCUGAUGCCUCUUUAAUUCAUAUGUUUUGGUUUUGCCCUACAAUUGAAAAGUUUUGGCGGGAAGUAUUUCAUACCUUCUCACAACUUUUUAGGGUCCAAUUUGACCCAAAUCCCCUUACUGCCUUGAUUGGUAUUAUUGCAAAUGAAGAUAUAACUUUAAAUACUCCUAACCUACAGGUUUUAGUUUUUACCUCUCUUUUAGCAAGAAGAGCAAUCUUGCUUAAAUGGAAGGAGUCUAUCCUCCUACACAUCUUCAAUGGCUACGUGAUAUUAUGUCUUAUCUAAAUUUAGAAAAGAUCCGCUGCUCAGUCUUAAAUUUGAAACAAUCUUUUUAUGAUAUCUGGGGACCUUUCCUAAACUACUUUUCCAAUUUAUAAAGUUUAACAGUGCACAGACUUUUAUGUAUAUUUUUAUCUUCUCUUCUUAAGUGAAUAUGUCUUUUUUUUUCUAAGUAUCCAUUGUUAUCCAUCAACUUUUUUCUUUGGUAGUUGGUAGGGGGUUGACUUAUUUUUAUAUAAAAAAUUUCUUUUAUGAUGUAUGACUUAUCUUUAAAUUUUUGAUUACAGAAUGGUAUACCUUUAUGUGUUAAGCUGUAACAUUUUGAUCAAUUUCAUUACAAUAUAUGAAUGUACACAAGUUAUGUUGAGAUAUAUCUAUGUGUUGCACUCUGUAA